GACGUAGGGCGCGAGCGUUGUCCGGAUUUAUUGGGCGUAAAGAGCUCGUAGGCGGUUUGUUGCGUCGGCUGUGAAAUCCCGAGGCUCAACCUCGGGUCUGCAGUCGAUACGAGCAAACUAGAGUGUUGCAGGGGAGACUGGAAUUCCUGGUGUAGCGGUGAAAUGCGCAGAUAUCAGGAGGAACACCGGUGGCGAAGGCGGGUCUCUGGGACGGUACUGACGCUGAGACGCGAAAGCGUGGGGAGCGAACAGG
rnacentral:rRNA from 1 species